rnacentral:rRNA from 1 species
AGCGUUAUCCGGAUCAUUGGGCGUAAAGCGCCUGUAGGUUGUUUAAUAAGUCUGUUGUUAAAUACUGGGGCUUAACCCCAGGAAAGCAAUGGAAACUACUAGACUUGAGUAUGAUAGGGGUAGAGGGAAUUUCUAGUGUAGCGGUGAAAUGCGUAGAUAUUAGGAAGAACACCGGUGGCGAAGGCGCUCUGCUGGAUCAUUACUGACACUCARAGGCGAAAGCUAGGGUAGCAAAWGGGAUUAGAUACCCCUGUAGUCCUAGCYGUAAACGAUGGAUACUAGAUGUUGCGUUCAUUAUGCAGWAUYGUAGCUAACGCGUUAAGUAUCCCGCCUGGGGAGUACGCUCGCAAGGGUGAAACUCAAAGGAAUUGACGGGGGCCCGCACAAGCGGYGGAGCAUGUGGUUUAAUUCGAUGCAACGCGAARAACCUUACCAAGGCUUGACAUACUACAAAUUUUUCUGAGAAGAAAAARUGCCUUCGGGAAUGUAGAUMCAGGUGGUGCAUGGCWGUCGUCAGCUCGUGUCGUGAGAUGWUGGGUUAAGUCCMGCAACGAGCGCAACCCUUGUUUUUAGUUGMCAAUYUAUUGGGUUUUUUAGAAAGGCUGCCGGUGACAAACCGGAGGAAGGGGAGGAAGACGGCAAGUCAGCCUUCCCCCUAUCCCCUGGGCUACCCCCGUGGUACAAUGGGUAGGGCMAAGAGGACGAGCUCGCGAGAGUCA